UGGGGAAUAUUGCACAAUGGGCGCAAGCCUGAUGCAGCCAUGCCGCGUGUAUGAAGAAGGCCUUCGGGUUGUAAAGUACUUUCAGUCGGGAGGAAGGUGGUAAGGUUAAUAACCUUAUCAAUUGACGUUACCGACAGAAGAAGCACCGGCUAACUCCGUGCCAGCAGCCGCGGUAAUACGGAGGGUGCAAGCGUUAAUCGGAAUUACUGGGCGUAAAGCGCACGCGGGCGGUUGAUUGAGUCAGAUGUGAAAUCCCCGGGCUUAACCCGGGAAUUGCAUCUGAUACUGGUCAGCUAGAGUCUUGUAGAGGGGGGUAGAAUUCCAUGUGUAGCGGUGAAAUGCGUAGAGAUGUGGAGGAAUACCGGUGGCGAAGGCGGCCCCCUGGACAAAGACUGACGCUCAGGUGCGAAAGCGUGGGGAGCAAACAGG
rnacentral:rRNA from 1 species